rnacentral:rRNA from 1 species
AGGUUAAGUGAAUAAGGGCGCACGGUGGAUGCCUUGGCACUAGGAGCCGAUGAAGGACGGGACUAACACCGAUAUGCUUUGGGGAGCUGUACGUAAGCUAUGAUCCAGAGAUUUCCGAAUGGGGGAACCCAACAUCUUUAAUAGGAUGUUACGAUUGUGUGAAUACAUAGCACAUUCGAGGUAGACGCAGAGAACUGAAACAUCUAAGUACCUGCAGGAAGAGAAAGAAAAUUCGAUUCCCUGAGUAGCGGCGAGCGAAACGGGAAAAGCCCAAACCAGCAAGCUUGCUUGUUGGGGUUGUAGGACUCCAAUAUGGUAGUUCUUUCAGAUAGUCGAAUGACUUGGAAAAGUCAGUCAAAGAGGGUAAAAACCCCGUAGACGAAAUGUGGAAGACACCUAGGAGGAUCCUGAGUACGGCGGAACACGAGAAAUUCCGUCGGAAUCCGGGAGGACCAUCUCCCAAGGCUAAAUACUCCCUAGUGACCGAUAGUGAACCAGUACCGUGAGGGAAAGGUGAAAAGCACCCCGGAAGGGGAGUGAAAUAGAACCUGAAACCGUGUGCCUACAACAAGUCAAAGCCCGUUAAUGGGUGAUGGCGUGCCUUUUGUAGAAUGAACCGGCGAGUUACGAUUGCAUGCGAGGUUAAGUUGAAGAGACGGAGCCGCAGCGAAAGCGAGUCUGAAUAGGGCGUUUGAGUAUGUAGUCGUAGACCCGAAACCAUGUGAUCUACCCAUGUCCAGGUUGAAGGUGCGGUAAAACGCACUGGAGGACCGAACCCACGUACGUUGAAAAGUGCGGGGAUGAGGUGUGGGUAGCGGAGAAAUUCCAAACGAACUUGGAGAUAGCUGGUUCUCUCCGAAAUAGCUUUAGGGCUAGCCUCGGAAUUGAGAAUGAUGGAGGUAGAGCACUGUUUGGACUAGGGGCCCAUCUCGGGUUACCGAAUUCAGAUAAACUCCGAAUGCCAUUCAUUCAUAUCCGGGAGUCAGACUGUGAGUGAUAAGAUCCAUAGUCGAAAGGGAAACAGCCCAGACCACCAGCUAAGGUCCCAAAAUAUAUGUUAAGUGGAAAAGGAUGUGGGGUUGCACAGACAACUAGGAUGUUGGCUUAGAAGCAGCCACCAUUUAAAGAGUGCGUAAUAGCUCACUAGUCGAGUGACCCUGCGCCGAAAAUGUACCGGGGCUAAACAUAUUACCGAAGCUGUGGAGUACACCUUUAGGUGUAUUGGUAGGAGAGCGUUCUAAGGGCGUCGAAGGCAGAUCGUGAGGACUGCUGGAGCGCUUAGAAGUGAGAAUGCCGGUAUGAGUAGCGAAAGACAGGUGAGAAUCCUGUCCACCGAAUGACUAAGGUUUCCUGGGGAAGGCUCGUCCGCCCAGGGUUAGUCGGGACCUAAGCCGAGGCCGACAGGCGUAGGCGAUGGAUAACAGGUUGAUAUUCCUGUACCCGUUGUUUUUGUUUGAGCAAUGGAGGGACGCAGGAGGCUAAGGAAUGCAGACGAUCGGAAAUGUCUGUCCAAGCAGUAAGUCUGAAGAGGAGUCAAAUGCUUCUUUUCUUAAGGACAAGCUGUGAUGGGGAGGGAAAUAAUAGUACCGAAGUUCCUGAUGUCACACUGCCGAGAAAAGCUUCUAGUGAGAAAACAGCGGCCCGUACCGCAAACCGACACAGGUAGUCGAGGAGAGAAUCCUAAGGUGAGCGAGAGAACUCUCGUUAAGGAACUCGGCAAAAUGACCCCGUAACUUCGGGAGAAGGGGUGCUGAUCAUACGAUCAGCCGCAGUGAAUAGGCCCAAGCGACUGUUUAUCAAAAACACAGGUCUCUGCAAAAUCGUAAGAUGAAGUAUAGGGGCUGACGCCUGCCCGGUGCUGGAAGGUUAAGAGGAGUGCUUAGCGCAAGCGAAGGUACGAAUUGAAGCCCCAGUAAACGGCGGCCGUAACUAUAACGGUCCUAAGGUAGCGAAAUUCCUUGUCGGGUAAGUUCCGACCCGCACGAAAGGCGUAACGAUUUGGGCACUGUCUCAACGAGAGACUCGGUGAAAUUUUAGUACCUGUGAAGAUGCAGGUUACCCGCGACAGGACGGAAAGACCCCAUGGAGCUUUACUGUAGUUUGAUAUUGAGUGUCUGUACCGCAUGUACAGGAUAGGUAGGAGCCGUAGAAAUCGGAACGCUAGUUUCGAUGGAGGCGCUGGUGGGAUACUACCCCUGCGUUAUGGCCACUCUAACCCGCACCACUAAUCGUGGUGGGAGACAGUGUCAGAUGGGCAGUUUGACUGGGGCGGUCGCCUCCUAAAAGGUAACGGAGGCGCCCAAAGGUUCCCUCAGAAUGGUUGGAAAUCAUUCGAAGAGUGUAAAGGCAGAAGGGAGCUUGACUGCGAGACCAACAAGUCGAGCAGGGACGAAAGUCGGGCUUAGUGAUCCGGUGGUUCCGCAUGGAAGGGCCAUCGCUCAACGGAUAAAAGCUACCCUGGGGAUAACAGGCUUAUCUCCCCCAAGAGUCCACAUCGACGGGGAGGUUUGGCACCUCGAUGUCGGCUCGUCGCAUCCUGGGGCUGUAGUCGGUCCCAAGGGUUGGGCUGUUCGCCCAUUAAAGCGGCACGCUAGCUGGGUUCAGAACGUCGUGAGACAGUUCGGUUCCUAUCCGUCGCGGGCGUUGGAAAUUUGAGAGGAGCUGUCCUUAGUACGAGAGGACCGGGAUGGACUUACCGCUGGUGUACCAGUUGUUCUGCCAAGGGCAUUGCUGGGUAGCUAUGUAGGGAAGGGAUAAACGCUGAAAGCAUCUAAGUGUGAAGCCCACCUCAAGAUGAGAUUUCCCAUUUCUUUAAGAAAGUAAGAUCCCUGAGAGAUGAUCAGGUAGAUAGGUCAGGAGUGGAAGUACAGUGAUGUAUGGAGCGGACUGAUACUAAUCGAUCGAGGACUUAACCAAU